CUUCAACACUGUCUCCCACAGUAUUCUCUUGAAGUAGCUGGCAGCCCAUGGCUUGGACAGCCUAGAGAUACUCCAUUCAAAAAAUCCUGAAAAGUCGGUGUCAGUGAUACUGAAAGAAAGAGAAAAGGGAAAGGAGGAGCAAUCCGUGACUUCAGUUUGCUUCCAAAGCGAGGCAGUGAGGAUGGUGCAGAAGAACAAAGGUGGUGCUGAGGAAUUAACAACCUCAAUUACAGCAGAGGAGGGAGGAGAAGAGGAGAAGUAGAGAACAAGGAAGAACAAACAAGAGUCCAGACUUCAUCCUGUCAUGUUCCAGUUUUUGGCAGGGAAAAGAAAUCAUGGAGAUUUCUAAGUGACUUAGGAUCCCAAGGCUUGUAAUUCAAAGAGACAGAUUUUUAAAACCAGCUAGACAGUUAAUUAUUCAGAUACAGUCAUUGGGGAACUUUGUUUUUUAAAACAUAGAGCAGCCAGCAGAAUAUAAUUAUUGAAAUCAAUAGGAGUUUGUUCUGAGAAUAAUGCAUUGUUUAGAAGUCAGCUGGAGCCUGGAUGUUCAUAGAGUUCUGUCAUUGUCCUAGUUCUGACUGAUCGGCACAAUAUAGCAACCAGCUCUGCUGACUUGUGCCCUACCAUUUUCAAGGUGCUAUUGUCAGACCAAGGCAUAACAUUUACCUAUAUGCCAUCAGUUGAUUAUUCCAGAGAAACAACCUAAAUGGAAAAUAAUGGAAGAGCUAUGAUUCUAUAAUUCUAACUGUUCUGUCAGAAUUGAUAUCAGCUAGGCACUGAGAUACUCUUUUGGGAGGUCAAAGUGAAUUAAAUGCCAGUGGAGAGACCUGAACCUAAGUCUUUCUGAGUUAUUAGGUAAUUUAACACUGAUAUUGACUGAAACUAAAAAGUCAGUCAUUCUAACCUUAUAAGAUUUCUUUGUCUUGUUGUUGUUGUUGUUUCUGAGUAUGUAAAGCUUUAAAUAUCUAGGCCUGUCUUCAGUGAAAAGACACUGACAGAGCACAGCUCAAAUCUUGCGUGAGCCAAAUCACCCUCCGGAGAUACGUGCCUUCUUUGACAAGGAGAGAAGCUAUGGUGAAUAGGCGCCUAACUUAAGUAGUAUGAAACCAGCCUUUCCAGUCUGGAGCUUCUGUGCUGUUGCAUGCUUUUGACAAACUCUUCUUAAUGGUUACCUUUGGCUCAAGUGAUCUGUGUUUACGUUUCUGCGUUGCUUUCUAUACACAGUAUGUACGCAUGUGUAUACAAAAUACAAAUGUACUGUUGAUGAAUCUUAUUUGCUUCGGAAAGUAUAACUACCAAGAAAAAUGGGACUCAUGAUUUGAAUUACAUGGGUUAUAAAAAUAUAGGUACCGAGAAUGAGGUGGCAGUUCUUGCCAUUCUCAUUAGCCACUAUGAAAGUCUGGUGACAUGAAAGGCCUAGGCUUAUUGACAUAACAUGCAAAUUGUGGAUGGGACAUGAUCUAUGAUUCUGAAGAGAGUGCAAUUUAUAGACACGGAUGUUUAAGUGAAUAAAUACCUACUCCAAUACCUCUUUGAUUUUUUUACUGCUCUAUUAUCCAGACUUUCCAAACAAACUUUGUAGUUCAUUUAGACCAAGCUCUUAGACCAUCAACAAAUCCAAGUACUUCAGGUAGUUAACACAGAAGCAGAGGUAAAUAGGCUAAAUUCUUCAAGACUGUAAAAGAAUUCAGAAUGAAUCAUUUAAUGAAGAGGUCAGAAUUUCUAAGAGAGCCAACUCAAAGAAAGCACUAGGGGUAAGUCUAUUUAGUAAUUAAAAGCAAUUUUUUAAAGCCAGAAUUUGAGAUCAUUCCAUUUACAUUGUUUCCUCCAAGGACUAACUGAACAGGCCCUGCCUGAUUUCCUAAUGUGGAGGAGCCAGAGUGAGAGGGGAGAAGUGAAGUCAACAUUCUGGGCAUAGGUAAACAUGUUUUCUCUGGCAGAUCUAAGAGGUCAAGGCUGGUAGAAGCCUCAAGACACUGCUGCAUUCCCAUCUGACUUUCAGGAUGACUGUAUGAGAACAGGCACCUUGUUGUAAACAAAUAUAAAGAAAAAUUUUAUAAGAAGCUGUUGACUUUGAAACUAGGGUUGAUAGACCUAAUGCUAGGAUGACAGUGUAAUAUUUUACAAGGCAAGUCUCACAUUAUUUAACUUCUUUUUUUUCUUGAAGUCCAAGUUUUUAUCUAUAAAUCUCAGGUGUUGUUUUUGUUUUGUUUUGUUUUGUUUUGUUUUUAAUGGGAAUUUAAGCCUAAGCAAGAUAUGCUGGCCUCUGUAUACAUAGUAGAUGUAGAGAAAGAGACACCUCUAGAAAGUGAUUCAUCUCAUCCCAAGAUAGGUAUCUAAGACAGGUCAUACGAAUCGCCUCUGGUGAUGUUUACGUUCUCCUGUACUGACUAUAAAAGAGCCCUUGGUUGACUACCUCAGACUUAAAUGUCCGAUUUACAGACAUCUGGAAGCCAUCUGAAGGCAGUGUUUGAAAACCUGAGUAAUAAGGCCAGUUGUGCUAAUGGGAUGCACGUGGCUUUUGGUUUUCUCAGAAACUGGACAGAGUCCACUCAGUGCCUGUCUGCAAAAGACAGUAUAGGCACACCCUGUGAGAGGUUAUCUGAGGGUAUUCCCUCAGAGAAGAGAGAAUUUUUUAGUUACCUGCAGCAAACCUUGAGCAAUAGUGGCAAAAUUGCUGUAAAGUACUGGAAAGAUGUGAUGAAUACAUGAG
ensembl:lncRNA